rnacentral:rRNA from 1 species
CCUACGGGUGGCUGCAGUGAGGAAUAUUGGUCAAUGGACGAGAGUCUGAACCAGCCAAGUAGCGUGAAGGAUGACUGCCCUAUGGGUUGUAAACUUCUUUUAUAUGGGAAUAAAACGUUCCACGUGUGGGAUUUUGUAUGUACCAUAUGAAUAAGGAUCGGCUAACUCCGUGCCAGCAGCCGCGGUAAUACGGAGGGUCCGAGCGUUAUCCGGAUUUAUUGGGUUUAAAGGGAGCGUAGGUGGAUUGUUAAGUCAGUUGUGAAAGUUUGCGGCUCAACCGUAAAAUGGCAGUUGAAACUGGCAGUCUGGAGUACAGUAGAGGUGGGCGGAAUUCGUGGGGUAGCGGUGAAAUGCUUAGAUAUCACGAAGAACUCAGAUUGCGAAGGCAGUUCACUGGACUGCAACUGACACUGAGGCUCGAAAGUGUGGGGAUCAAACAGGAUUAGAUACCCGAGUAGUC